GCGAGUCGAGCGCCCCGCAAGGGGAGCGGCAGACGGGUGAGUAACGCGUGGGAAUCUACCCUUUUCUACGGAAUAACGCAGGGAAACUUGUGCUAAUACCGUAUGAGCCCUUCGGGGGAAAGAUUUAUCGGGAAAGGAUGAGCCCGCGUUGGAUUAGCUAGUUGGUGGGGUAAAGGCCUACCAAGGCGACGAUCCAUAGCUGGUCUGAGAGGAUGAUCAGCCACAUUGGGACUGAGACACGGCCCAAACUCCUACGGGAGGCAGCAGUGGGGAAUAUUGGACAAUGGGCGCAAGCCUGAUCCAGCCAUGCCGCGUGAGUGAUGAAGGCCCUAGGGUUGUAAAGCUCUUUCACCGGUGAAGAUAAUGACGGUAACCGGAGAAGAAGCCCCGGCUAACUUCGUGCCAGCAGCCGCGGUAAUACGAAGGGGGCUAGCGUUGUUCGGAUUACUGGGGCGUAAAGCGCACGUAGCCGGAUUGUUAAGUGAGGGGGUGAAAUCCCAGGGCUCAACCCUGGGAACUGCCCUUUUCAUACUGGGCAAUCUAGAGUCAAGAAGAAGGUGGAGGUGGAUUUCUUGGGGAAGGUACGGGUCGCAAGGAAUAAAAACUCCAAAAGAAUUGACGGGGGGCCCCGCACCAAGCCGGUGGAAGCAUGUUGGUUUAAUUCGAAAGCAAACGCGCAGAACCCUUACCAGCCCUGACAUCCCGAUCGCGGGAUACGAGAGAUCGUAUUCUUCAGUUCGGCUGGAUCGGAGACAGGUGCUGCAUGGCUGUCGUCAGCUCGUGUCGUGAGAUGUUGGGUUAAGUCCCGCAACGAGCGCAACCCUCGCCCUUAGUUGCCAGCAUUCAGUUGGGCACUCUAAGGGGACUGCCGGUGAUAAGCCGAGAGGAAGGUGGGGAUGACGUCAAGUCCUCAUGGCCCUUACGGGCUGGGCUACACACGUGCUACAAUGGUGGUGACAGUGGGCAGCGAGACCGCGAGGUCGAGCUAAUCUCCAAAAGCCAUCUCAGUUCGGAUUGCACUCUGCAACUCGAGUGCAUGAAGUUGGAAUCGCUAGUAAUCGCAGAUCAGCAUGCUGCGGUGAAUACGUUCCCGGGCCUUGUACACACCGCCCGUCACACCAUGGGAGUUGGUUCUACCCGAAGGUAGUGCGCUAACCGCAAGGAGGCAGCUA
rnacentral:rRNA from 1 species